GCAUUGGUGGUUCAGUGGUAGAAUUCUCGCCUUCCAUGUGGGAGACCUUGGUUUGAUUCCCGGUCAGUGUA
rnacentral:tRNA from 1 species